rnacentral:rRNA from 1 species
GAUGAACGCUGGCGGCGUGCCUAAUACAUGCAAGUCGAGCGAACAGACGAGGAGCUUGCUCCUCUGACGUUAGCGGCGGACGGGUGAGUAACACGUGGAUAACCUACCUAUAAGACUGGGAUAACUUCGGGAAACCGGAGCUAAUACCGGAUAAUAUAUUGAACCGCAUGGUUCAAUAGUGAAAGACGGUUUUGCUGUCACUUAUAGAUGUAUCCGCGCCGCAUUAGCUAGUUGGUAAGGUAACAGCUUACCAAGGCAACGAUGCGUAGCCGACCUGAGAGGGUGAUCGGCCACACUGGAACUGAGACACGGUCCAGACUCCUACGGGAGGCAGCAGUAGGGAAUCUUCCGCAAUGGGCGAAAGCCUGACGGAGCAACGCCGCGUGAGUGAUGAAGGUCUUCGGAUCGUAAAACUCUGUUAUUAGGGAAGAACAAAUGUGUAAGUAACUAUGCACGUCUUGACGGUACCUAAUCAGAAAGCCACGGCUAACUACGUG